rnacentral:lncRNA from 1 species
GGUGAUGCGUGGACGUAGAAGCGUGGACGGAGAUGAGUGUAAAAAUUCUAGAAGUUUCAUCAGAGCAAACUCCACAAUAGCUGAGCUUAAUGACACAACCCCAACAAGAAUGUUUGUCUGUGGACAGGAAAUAAGAUUUUGAUUAUGUUGUGGAUAUGGACACUAACAUAACCAUGAAUAAAGAACAAGAAAGAUCUCUUAAAUUUGUGGAUAGAAAAUUGAAGCUUGAUGUGGUGGAUAGAGUAGUAACUCAAACACUAAACAUUGAUUAAAAAAAAUAUAACAUAUUGAAAGGCUAUGAUAUGGAUGUCAAUGUGUCCACAAUAUCAAAGAUGAACAAAUUAAUAACUUCAAACCAAUUACGACCACAUACAUGUCUAGGAAAAAAAAAACAAGGUUGAGUGAUGAAAACAAAGCUAAACAAACCAAAAAGUUAAAACGAAUCAGCUCCUCCUCCAAAACCAUCGGUCAAAACGAGUCAGCUGCUCUUCCCGGUGAGCCAAACCAUUGAUUCCGAGCUCAACAUCGUCGUGGAUGAGCUCGGUGAAGCUUCAUUGGUUCGAGCUCGUCACAAUCCUCCACCAUGAGAUAUGUAGUAUGCUAAAUUAUGAUUUUUAAUCAUAAUUUUACUCAUCCACAAAUAGCCGUCCAUAUUUACUCAUCUAUGCUUACCCGUCCACACUAUCUUCCCACACUCAUCCACAUGUGUGUUUCCAUGCUUAUAUUCUACACUAGGAGGGUGUCCGCGCUUCGCGCGGAAUAUUGUUUUAUUAUUGAUAAAAAAAUGAUUUUUUGGAUAAUG